rnacentral:lncRNA from 1 species
AGGAGCUAAGCCUCCAUAGGUGGGGAAGGGAAUUAACCCCAGGACACAGGCUCCAGUCUGGGGGCUUGAGAUGCUCAGGGGACACCAGUUAGAACUAAGGCAGGAGGCCAAGGCAGAAGCUGUGCUCCUCUGCCUGGAUGUAUGAGGGCAGCAGAGGAAGAAGAGUUGGCAAAGCAGCCCAGAAACACAUGAAGAGGAGGAGUGAAUGGUCUUGCUCUGUUGACCAGACCGUGACCUCCUGGGUUCAAGCGAGGACU